rnacentral:siRNA from 1 species
UGCUGUAUGUUAUGAUAUCGG